rnacentral:tRNA from 1 species
GGUUAGAUGGCUGAGAUUUAAGCGUUAAAUUGUAAAUUUAUUAACAGGGUUAACCUUCUUACCA